CUUUUUAGGGUCAUACCCACAACAUAUGGAAGUUCCCAGACUAGUGGUUGAAUUGGAGCCCCAGCCCCAACAACAUGGGGUCUGAGCCUCUUCUGUGACCUACACCACAGCUUGCAGCAACUCCGGACCUGCAAGCCACCGAGGCCAAGGAUCAAACCUAUAUCCUCAUGGAUAUUAUUCUGUUUCUUAGCCUGCUGAGCCACAAUGGGAACUCCUAUUACAGGAGCUGCGGAAAGGUCCUAAGAGAAGCAGCAAGCCAGGAGAAGCCCAGGCAGCCUUGGAAUGCAGAGUCAGCAUCCCGAUGGGGGGGCUGAGGCUCAAGAGAUGCACAGACACAGUGAAGAAGUGGUCCAGGAGGGAGAAAUAGACAACACGAAAGCGAAGGCAGGAAAGUCCAAGCAAGUCCAAGUGUAUAGGGGUGAGGUGGGGGUUUGAUGGGGGAGAGGCUGGAGUGAGGAGGGGUCCUGCAGGGACAGGCUCCACUGAGACGAAGGACUCAGCCUCUGGGGAAAGUGGGUGCUGAGGGGACUCAGCCUCUGGGGAAAGUGGGUGCUGAGGUAUUUAAGCAGAAGAGCACAGUGAGAUUUGCAUUUUAGAAAGAUUGGCCUUGGAGUUCCUAGUGGUUAAGGACUCAGCUUGGUCACUGCUGUGGUCACUCCCUGGCUAGGAAGAUCCACAUGCUGCAGGCAUGGCUAAAUAAAGGAAAGAAAAAUUUAAAAAGAUUAGGCUUUCAAACAUGUUCCAUUUAUUUUUCCUCUUUGAAGGGGAAGACAGGAGAAUGUCAAUGAAAGAAUAAAAUUUAUUUCAUUUCACUAUUCAAAAAUAUUGUCAUUCAUAUAAAACAAAAAAAUAUAUUGUCAUUCAAACUGCAACAAGAUAACUGUUUUCCUAAAAGUUUCAGUAAGUUUGUAAAUGUGUAACAACAUUUGUUCACAAAAAAAACUCACACCAACCACAAGAUUUGUCAUAAAAACCAUGACUUAUAUGGUUAUAGUAAUCAACCGUCCUUCCUCCCCUCAAAAGGAAGGCACAUUUUCAAAAGUUACUGUCAGCAUCCAUCAAUUUAAGUUGUUUUUUUAAUAACAACAAAUUGCUGUUAAAUAACUCUUAAGGUUUCCACACUUGAGGACAGAAGCAGUGGCCCAGAGAGCAACUCAGAGUAAAGCCAAUAUCCACAACGCUUACAUUCCCUGCCUAAUACACACACACACACACACUCUCUCUCUCUCUCUCUCACACACACACACACGAUUGCUCUUCUGAUUGUGGUACUACUUAGGCAAAUAUGAAUAAUUCUACCUAUGCUUUAAUCAAAUUGCACACACUGCCUUCAUAAGCAGAGAGGAAAAACCCAAACAGGAGUAGUAAUAGCAGACUACUUGGGAAAGUUCCACAGGCAGCGAAACUGUUUGGGGAGCAAACCAUAUCAGGGAUCCGGAGGCAGUACCUCGGAGUUUCCGCUCAUCAGCCCACUCAGGACCCCGAGAGCCCUGCAAGGGAGCAACCCACUCUAGAGAUGAGGAAGUGAGGCUCCGCUGGGUUGGGCUGCCCAAGGCUAAGUGGUGAAGAACCGUGAUCUCCAAAGCCCAUCCCAAGCUCCCCCCGCCAAGAGGGCUCUCGGGUCAGGGGCCGGGCUGAGAGGUUCCAGCCGCUUCCCACCCUCGCCUGUGACUUGAGGCCCUUCUCCCCUCCAUUGCUCCGCAGUCGGCAGCAUUUCUGCAGCCCGAAGGUGAUCCCCUGCCCUCCCCAGAGAAGCGCCCGUCCAGACUGCCGCCCUGCCCAAACACCCCAGUCCUCCGGGGACCAUCCAACUGCAGGAAGUCCCUGCGUCUUGCCCUGGAAUUCCCGGUCCUCCUCUACUGGAUCCCGCCUUCCAUCACGUGACAGGAAGUCUCCACAGGAUCCAGACCAGCCCUGAUGCCCAAGCACCUUCAUCAUUCCCUUCCUGCACUGCCUUCCCUCCCACUGCUCAGAAUGGGAGCCCACACUCUCCAGACUCAAAUGCCUGGACCCCACUGCAGACCGAGGAGCCAGGACACCACGGUCGACAGGUGCUUUUUGAGGUCGCCCCACUACCCAGGUAGGAAGCGCUGUCCUAAAUCAAGGCCAGUCUUCCCACUUACUAAACCAGACGCAAACCCUAGGGAUUACAGGAGAUUGCCGCCCCCUCCCCCAUGUGCAAAGGACCACUCCCCUCUCGGAAAUCCAGCAGCCACACCUGUGUGUACCAACCCGUUGCAAAUUAACACCACUGCCUACUGUUAUUUAUAGUUGAAUAUAUUCACCCUGCCUCCCAGAUUACUUUCUUCUUGAGGGCAAGAAUUUGGUCUUAAUGUUUUUCUUCACAAACCGUGAACACAGCAGCCCUCCAACAAAUCAACAAUUUUUAAGAAAACAAACAUGGAAAUCUUCUUAUCUUUCUCCUAACCAGAGUCUGGAUGCACAGCAGGAAAAAAUGGGAAAUCUUGGGGCCAGCCCUGAGCCACUCAGAAUCAAGAAGGAGCGGGUAAAGCCCUAAGAAGUCAAGUCGCCAGACGAGAGUCCCGGCAGUUGGCGCUUUUUACCCC
rnacentral:lncRNA from 1 species